rnacentral:rRNA from 1 species
AUUGAACGCUGGCGGCAUGCUUUACACAUGCAAGUCGAACGGCAGCACAGAGAAGCUUGCUUCUUGGGUGGCGAGUGGCGAACGGGUGAGUAAUAUAUCGGAACGUACCGAGUAAUGGGGGAUAACUAAUCGAAAGAUUAGCUAAUACCGCAUAUUCUCUGAGGAGGAAAGCAGGGGACCUUCGGGCCUUGCGUUAUUCGAGCGGCCGAUAUCUGAUUAGCUAGUUGGUGGGGUAAAGGCCUACCAAGGCGACGAUCAGUAGCGGGUCUGAGAGGAUGAUCCGCCACACUGGGACUGAGACACGGCCCAGACUCCUACGGGAGGCAGCAGUGGGGAAUUUUGGACAAUGGGCGCAAGCCUGAUCCAGCCAUGCCGCGUGUCUGAAGAAGGCCUUCGGGUUGUAAAGGACUUUUGUCAGGGAAGAAAAGGCUGUUGCUAAUAUCGACAGCUGAUGACGGUACCUGAAGAAUAAGCACCGGCUAACUACGUGCCAGCAGCCGCGGUAAUACGUAGGGUGCGAGCGUUAAUCGGAAUUACUGGGCGUAAAGCGAGUGCAGACGGUUACUUAAGCAGGAUGUGAAAUCCCCGGGCUCAACCUGGGAACUGCGUUCUGAACUGGGUGACUAGAGUGUGUCAGAGGGAGGUAGAAUUCCACGUGUAGCAGUGAAAUGCGUAGAGAUGUGGAGGAAUACCGAUGGCGAAGGCAGCCUCCUGGGAUAACACUGACGUUCAUGCUCGAAAGCGUGGGUAGCAAACAGG